rnacentral:pre_miRNA from 1 species
UGCCUACUGAACUGGUAUCAGUGUGAACUCUUGGGUACUGGCUCAGUUCAGCAGGAAC